rnacentral:tRNA from 1 species
GCCGAGGUGGUGGAAUUUGGUAGACACGCUAUCUUGAGGGGGUAGUGGCCAACGGUCGUGCGGGUUCAAAUCCCGCCCUCGGCACCA